GACGAACGCUGGCGGCGUGCUUAACACAUGCAAGUCGAACGGAAAGGCCCUGCUUUUGUGGGGUGCUCGAGUGGCGAACGGGUGAGUAACACGUGAGUAACCUGCCCUUGACUUUGGGAUAACUUCAGGAAACUGGGGCUAAUACCGGAUAGGAGCUCCUGCUGCAUGGUGGGGGUUGGAAAGUUUCGGCGGUUGGGGAUGGACUCGCGGCUUAUCAGCUUGUUGGUGGGGUAGUGGCUUACCAAGGCUUUGACGGGUAGCCGGCCUGAGAGGGUGACCGGCCACAUUGGGACUGAGAUGCGGCCCAGACUCCUACGGGAGGCAGCAGUGGGGAAUAAUGCACAAUGGGCGGAAGCCUGAUGCAGCAACGCCGCGUGCGGGAUGACGGCCUUCGGGUUGUAAACCGCUUUCGCCUGUGACGAAGCGUGAGUGACGGUAAUGGGUAAAGAAGCACCGGCUAACUACGUG
rnacentral:rRNA from 1 species